rnacentral:rRNA from 1 species
CCCUUAGAGUUUGAUCCUGGCUCAGGAUGAACGCUAGCGGCAGGCCUAAUACAUGCAAGUCGAACGAGAUUGUUGUAGCAAUAUGACAUGAAAGUGGCGCACGGGUGCGUAACACGUAUGCAAUCUACCUUUAAUUGGAGCAUAGCCUCGAGAAAUCGGGAUUAAUACUCCAUAACAUAAUUAAGUGGCAUCAUUUGAUUAUCAAACCUCCGGGGAUUAAAGAUGAGCAUGCGCAACAUUAGCUAGUUGGUAAGGUAAUGGCUUACCAAGGCUACGAUGUUUAGGGGGUCUGAGAGGAUGAUCCCCCACACUGGUACUGAGACACGGACCAGACUCCUACGGGAGGCAGCAGUAGGGAAUAUUGGGCAAUGGAGGAAACUCUGACCCAGCCAUGCCGCGUGCAGGAUGACGGCCCUCUGGGUUGUAAACUGCUUUUAUACGGGAAGAAAAAAUACUACGUGUAGUAUACUGACGGUACCGUAAGAAUAAGGAUCGGCUAACUCCGUGCCAGCAGCCGCGGUAAUACGGAGGAUCCAAGCGUUGUCCGGAUUUAUUGGGUUUAAAGGGUGCGUAGGCGGAUCUUUAAGUCAGUGGUGAAAGCCUGCAGCUUAACUGUAGAACAGCCAUUGAAACUGAAGAUCUUGAAUGUGGUUAAAGUAGGCGGAAUGUAUCAUGUAGCGGUGAAAUGCUUAGAUAUGAUACAGAACACCGAUAGCGAAGGCAGCUUGCUGAACCAUUAUUGACGCUGAGCACGAAAGCGUGGGGAGCGA